UUACAAUUGACGCUAGUGCCACAUGUGAAAUGAAAUGCUUACCAAAUGCUAGGCUAAGCCCAAAAUUUGACCAAAGCUGCAAAAGCCAGCCGAGUAAAGGGCCUAGAUACAGGCAGCGUGGUUAAUAUUGAUCCGCUCUGGUAUUUAUUAAAUACUAAAAUCAAAUCGAAAUUUAUAAAGAACGUGAUAAUGGUCUAUGAUUGUCUAUGAUAUUCUCGAAAUAAAUUACACCACAAUCAUUUCGUUGUAUAUAUAUUUGAGUUUUUUUCUCGUAUUUUUAGCGAAAAAUGUACAAAACCAGGGGGGGGGAGGGUUAGUUGGGUUAGACUGCUACACUAUAUUUCAUUGAAAUGAUCCUCGAUAGAUCAUGAGUCACGUUUUAGAGUGAGUUACUAUUUUUAGACUUUUAGGGUUAGGAUUAGGGUUUGGUUUAGGGAAAGGAUUAAGGUUAGAGCAAG